rnacentral:tRNA from 17 species
GGGCGGUUAGCUCAGUUGGUUAGAGCGCCUGCCUUACAAGCAGGAUGUCGGGGGUUCGAGUCCCUCACUGCCCACCA